UCUUGGCAUUCCAGGCAACGGAAGAGCCUGAAUGUGUCCUGACUUCUUGCUUAGCAAAAUUGGAUCACCCUGCACUUUGGGAGGCCGAGGCGGGCGGAUCACGAGGUCAGGAGAUCGAGACCAUCCCAGCUAAAACCCGUCUCAAAAAAAAAAAAAAAAAAAAAAAAAAAAAAAAAGACUAAGGUGUAAUCCAUCUAGCAUAUUUCCAGUGACCCAACAGGGGCUGCCUGAUUAUAGUAACUGGCUCUGAAUUGCUGCUUCUGCUCAACUUCCUGGAUGCUAGCAGUACCCAGGGAUGUAAAGACCUUUCAACUAGAGCUCAUAGCAGGCCCUUGUGUCUGAGAAUGACUGCUUCUGUGAUCUGAUGAGCACACGUGGUGUGCAUCCAGUGGCUCUGCUCUUAAACUAGGCCCAUGACUACCAACAGUCAUUCUUCCUGGGCUGCUGAGACCAGAAAAUAAAAGUGCCUUCCAAAGGGUUCACAGAUGCAGAGGAAUUUUGCCUCAGGAUGAAUUGCAUCUUCAGUCUCACCCAAACCUGAUUUAGAUAAUAUUUCAAUGAGACUUCGGACUUCAGACUUUACAGUUGAUGCUGCAACCAGUUAAGGCUUUUGGGAUUGUCGGAAUGGAAUGAAUGUAUUUUGCAUGUGAGAAGAACAUGAAGUGUGGGGGGGCCAUGGGCAGAAUAUUAUGGAUUGCAUGAUUUUGUCUCCCCAGAAUACAUAUGUUGAAAUUCUAAUCCCCAAUGUGAUGGUAUUAUGUGGUGGGAACUUUGGGAGGUAAUUAGGUUAUGAGGGUGGAGACCUCAUGUAAAGGAUUAGUGCCCUUAUAAGAAGAAACACAAGAGCUUGCUUCCUCUCUCUGCUCUCCACUAUGUGAAGAUAGAACAAGAAGAUGGCCAUCUGCAAACCAGGAAGAGAGCCCUCAUCAGACACUGGAUCUGCCAGCACCUUGAUCCUGGACUUCACAGCCUCCAGAACUGUGAGAAAUACAUAUAUGUUUUUUAAAGCACCCAGUCUGUGGCAUUUUGUUGUAGCAACCUGAGCUAAAACAGUUGCUAUUGAACUCUGUUCAGAGCUCCAGAUGUCCUGUGCUGGCACUGGGCAGGGUGCUCUCCUGGGCCAUUUCAUCAGCUCAGAGGCCUCACCUUCCACCAUAUGCUGAAGACCUCAAAUCUACAUCACAGUGAGACCUCCCCUGAGGUCUAGGCUAUUAAGUUGUAAGAUCUAUAAAAGCUUUCAUCACCUCACUUCCCUACUGGCCUUUACUCACCCUUCAAAAUGAUAAUUGUGUUAGUCAUUGAAAGAUGUGGCUGGGAUGAGAGUUCAGUUUACAGACUCUGCAGCUGGACUGCCUGGGUUCUGCCCUGGUUCCAC
rnacentral:lncRNA from 1 species